UGGGGAAUAUUGCACAAUGGGGGAAACCCUGAUGCAGCAACGCCGCGUGAGUGAAGAAGUAUUUCGGUAUGUAAAGCUCUAUCAGCAGGGAAGAAGAUGACGGUACCUGACCAAGAAGCCCCGGCUAACUACGUGCCAGCAGCCGCGGUAAUACGUAGGGGGCAAGCGUUAUCCGGAUUUACUGGGUGUAAAGGGAGCGCAGACGGCAGUGCAAGUCUGGAGUGAAAGCCCGGGGCCCAACCCCGGAACUGCUCUGGAAACUGUGCGGCUAGAGUACUGGAGGGGCAGGCGGAAUUCCUAGUGUAGCGGUGAAAUGCGUAGAUAUUAGGAGGAACACCAGUGGCGAAGGCGGCUUGCUGGACUGUAACUGACGUUGAGGCUCGAAAGCGUGGGGAGCAAACAGG
rnacentral:rRNA from 1 species